CAAAUACUCCCUCCGUUCGAAAUUAUUUGUCUCGGAAAUGGAUGUAUCUAGAACUAAAAUACAUCUAGAUACAUCCAUUUUCGCGACAAGUAAUUCUGAACGGAGGGAGUAGGUU
rnacentral:pre_miRNA from 1 species